UAGGGAAUCUUCGGCAAUGGGGGGACCCCUGACCGACCAACCCCGGGGGGGUGAAGAAGGUUUUCGGUUGGAAAAGCCUGGUUGUUAAGGAAGAACGAGUGUGAGAAGGGAAAGUCCAUGUUGUGACGGUAUUUAACCAGAAAGGGCGGGCUAAUUACGGGCCAGCAGCCGCGGUAAUACGUAGGUCCCGAGCGUUGUCCGGAUUUAUUGGGCGUAAAGCGAGCGCAGGCGGUUAGAAAAGUCUGAAGUGAAAGGCAGUGGCUCAACCAUUGUAGGCUUUGGAAACUGUUUAACUUGAGUGCAGAAGGGGAGAGUGGAAUUCCAUGUGUAGCGGUGAAAUGCGUAGAUAUAUGGAGGAACACCGGUGGCGAAAGCGGCUCUCUGGUCUGUAACUGACGCUGAGGCUCGAAAGCGUGGGGAGCGAACAGG
rnacentral:rRNA from 1 species